CUCUGAAAAAGGCAAACCCGUCGAAAGGCGGGGACGCAAAAUCACCGGUCUACAGGGGUCGCCCCAUGACAGCGGGAUUGCCAGG
rfam:Azoarcus aromaticum EbN1 complete genome